CCAUUGCCUAAUUCAAAGUCAUGAAGAUUUAUGCCUAUAUUUUCUUCUAUGACUUUUAUAGUUUUAACACUUAUGUUUACAUCUAUGAUCCAUUUUUAGUUAAUUUUUAUGGGUAGAGUGAAUAAUGGGUAGAAAACCAAUGUUUAUCUACAACUUAAUCCAUGGCAAUUAACCAUUUAUUUUAAAAUAUACAGUUUUAUUUCAUUUUAUAUUAUAUAUUAUGUGUAUAUAUUUAUAUAUAUAUAUUUGGUUGUAAUAUCAGAGGUAACCAAUUAUGUAGGUAGUUUUAAAGUGAGGUGUGGAGCAGUCAGAAUAUCUUAAAUACUUGAAAUCCAUAUGUGAUACCAAAAAAAUUACUUUAGUCAUAGAAAUUCCUUGAUCGGAUUUAAAUCAGUGCUUCCUAAAGGUGUUAUAAGUAAUUUACCACAUUUAUAGAUACGAUAAUGAUUAGGCCACUAUAAUUUUUCAUUCAAUAGUAUGGACAUAAACAUAAGUCCAGUACUUCUGACUCACUUUUGUUCAUUUAUUCAUCUCUUUUUGCUGGAUAUUUUACUAAGAAAAAUAACAACUUAAGAAUGAUUCUGUUGGAAUUUGCCACAGAAAUUAUACAAGUUUUGAUUGGCUAACAGUAGGAAGUUAUAAACAGUAGUACCUCACAAAGUACUAAAAUCACCUAUUCAUUGUAGUUUAGUUGUGUUGUAGG